rnacentral:sRNA from 1 species
AUUAGCGGUUUAUUUUUAGUUUAGUCCAAUCAUAUUUGGGUAUAGAUUUCGAGGUCUUUUUUUCAGAACCGAUACCCAAAUUAUUGGGUAAAUACUCGGGUUUUUUGGUAAAUACCGGGAUUUUUAAAUAAAAACUUUGGAUUUCGAGUAAAAUUUGGAUAUUCGAAUAAGAUUUUUGAGUAUUUUCAAGUCUGAGUCGAAUUCGGUUACAAUUUUUUGAGUAGAAAAGUUUAAAGAAAAAUUCUUUCAAAUGCCUUUUCCAUGAUGCCCCUUUUCAACUCUACCCUUUUGUUUUAUCCAUUUUCAUUUCUACCCUCUUUAAAUUUUUAAUGACCAUUUUACCUCUAUUUGAAAA